rnacentral:sRNA from 1 species
UGUCUAACCCUUAAUAGGUUGGUCUAUAAGGUAUGGCAUAAAAAUCCACUGCGACAUAGAGAUGGGCAUCCAUCUUACUAUCAUGUCGCAGUGGUUACUACCCGAAAGGGUAGUAAGGUAGUCCCGAAAGGGCUGUC